CCUACGGGAGCUGCAGUGGGGAAUAUUGGACAAUGGGGGCAACCCUGAUCCAGCCAUGCCGCGUGUGUGAAGAAGGCCCUCGGGUUGUAAAGCACUUUCAGUGAGGAAGAACGCCUGGUGGUUAAUACCCAUCAGGAAAGACAUCACUCACAGAAGAAGCACCGGCUAACUCCGUGCCAGCAGCCGCGGUAAUACGGAGGGUGCGAGCGUUAAUCGGAAUUACUGGGCGUAAAGCGCGCGUAGGUGGCUUGAUAAGCCGGUUGUGAAAGCCCCGGGCUCAACCUGGGAACGGCAUCCGGAACUGUCAAGCUAGAGUGCAGGAGAGGAAGGUAGAAUUCCCGGUGUAGCGGUGAAAUGCGUAGAGAUCGGGAGGAAUACCAGUGGCGAAGGCGGCCUUCUGGACUGACACUGACACUGAGGUGCGAAAGCGUGGGUAGCAAACAGGAUUAGAUACCCUAGUAGUC
rnacentral:rRNA from 1 species